AUUGAACGCUGGCGGCAUGCCUUACACAUGCAAGUCGAACGGCAGCACGGGUGCUUGCACCUGGUGGCGAGUGGCGAACGGGUGAGUAAUACAUCGGAACAUGUCCUGUAGUGGGGGAUAGCCCGGCGAAAGCCGGAUUAAUACCGCAUACGAUCUACGGAUGAAAGCGGGGGACCUUCGGGCCUCGCGCUAUAGGGUUGGCCGAUGGCUGAUUAGCUAGUUGGUGGGGUAAAGGCCUACCAAGGCGACGAUCAGUAGCUGGUCUGAGAGGACGACCAACCACACUGGGACUGAGACACGGCCCAGACUCCUACGGGAGGCAGCAGUGGGGAAUGGUGGGCAAUGGGCGGAAGCCUGAUACAGCAAUGCCGAGUGUGAGAAGAAGGCCUUCGGGUUGUAAAGCACUUUUGUCCGGAAAGAAAUCCUUGGCCCUAAUACGGUCGGGGGAUGACGGUACCGGAAGAAUAAGCACCGGCUAACUACGUG
rnacentral:rRNA from 1 species